rnacentral:rRNA from 1 species
AAUCUUUAACUGUCUCAAGAAGAAAGUUCAAUUAAUUUGAAAAAACGGUGAAGAUGCUGUUAACAAAAUUGUAAGACGAAAAGACCCUUUCGAGCUUUACUAUAAGCUUAUAGAAAAAAUCUUUAAUAAAAAUAUAAUAAAAACAAACUGUAAGCUAGUUAGUUUGGUUGGGGCGACCACCUCUAAAACAGUAUCAGAGGAAAUCUAAAGGUAUAAUAGUAAUAUUAAUUGCCUUACUGUAUACAAACAAGUUAAUCAGUUACUAUUAUGUAGGAUAUAAUGACCCGUUGAAUUAAUUUCAAAAUUCAACGACCAUGAAAAAAGUUACCGUAGGGAUAACAGGGUAAUAUUAUCAAAGAGUUCAUAUCGAUGAUGAUGUUUGCCACCUCGAUGUUGAAUUGUGAUAUCCUGAGGGUGUAGCAGCUCUCAAGGGUCGGUCUGUUCGACCGUUAAAAUCAUACGUGAUCUGAGUUCAGACC